rnacentral:rRNA from 1 species
GACGUAGGGCGCAAGCGUUGUCCGGAUUUAUUGGGCGUAAAGAGCUCGUAGGCGGCUUGUUGCGUCGUCCGUGAAAACCCGUGGCUCAACUGCGGGCUUGCGGACGAUACGGGCAGGCUGGAGUUCGGCAGGGGAGACUGGAAUUCCUGGUGUAGCGGUGAAAUGCGCAGAUAUCAGGAGGAACACCGGCGGCGAAGGCGGGUCUCUGGGCCAUAACUGACGCUGAGGAGCGAAAGCGUGGGGAGCGAACAGG